rnacentral:lncRNA from 1 species
UGGGUAAUGAAGUCUCAGGACAUGGUGUGUGCUCUCCUACUCGUCUGCUUCUAAGUUUUCUCUCAGUUUAUCCCAUUUCAUAUUUGCACCCUGAGGCUCUAAUAACAAGUGCCCAUGAUCCCUUUGCAUGACAGUUGGAGGCCAAGUGGGGACACACACCACCCAUUUCAGUGUUAGGUGGUUUGGGAUGCAGCAGAGUUUACUGGUCCACCCAGGAUGGGAAAUAACCCUUCUGGGGUGGCCAGUCACCUGAAAGCCUAGGGCCAGGUGUUUGCAUCCCAGGAUCAUGGUUGGUAGUAUAAGAGGAGUCCUUCAGAUACCAAAGCUCCCAAAGUACUGGAAAGAGAUGGAUUUUUUACAAAAGGAAAUCCCAGAAGAGUGAGACUACUGGUUGCCUGAAUUUUGCAAAGUCCCAAGGCCUCACUCUCAGACACUGUUUUAGCAGGUCUGGGUCAGGCCAAGCAUAUUUGUGAAAAUGUCCAUCACAAGUUGUCAUGUGUACUCCUAGAUAAGGACUGGUGUAAAACACUAUCUCCAAAGUUCUAGGGGUGGGCUUAAUUAUAAACAUACGGGUUCUCUCCCUUGUUUUAUUAGAGAAAUUGUAUAGAAUAAUUUGUUUGUACCUUCUGCCUUGCCUUUAUCCCCAAAUUUCUUGUACCUUUCAUCAUUUUUCAUAGAAACUAGUGUUCUGUGCUACAACCAGGGUAGGUAGAUGGUCUCCUAAGAAGUUAAGAUGUUUAUACAGCUUCUGUUUCUCACACUGUGAUGUUCUGAAUCAUGUUGUGUGAUUUUCUUCUGCCCUCCAUGUAAAGACAACUACUCUCUGAUUUAUAAUUCUGCCUUCUCAAAUGCAUAGCCCAUUUAUAAUUUGCUGUCUGACUUACAGCAUGCAUGCAGAUAUUUUCCUGGCCCAUCACUAUAGCAGCUGAGAGAGAGCCCGCAACCUGGAGGAGCUCAGAGGAGAGGAAGGCGAGAAGCUGGAGGAGUGAGAACCUCUAGAGAAGAAAGGAAAAUCUGAGUGCACUUCGACCACAGAGGCCAGAGCAGCACAUCAAAGCCAGAAGUACAAGUCAUCAAAGUUCAGAUUCUUUCCUGCUUCUCUGUGGUGGAGUCGAGAAUACAAACAUCCUCAAUUGCUGUAGCAAGAGGAACAUGAGUCCAUCAACAGAACCAAACAGGAAGUACCAAAUGGGUAUUUCUUCUAUUUAUUUUGUGACCAUUAAGAAAGACAGAGUAGUUCUUUCAACCAAAUUUGUCCAUGAAGCACAGAACACAUAUAAGAUGUAAUCAUUUUAGUUAGUGGAAAA